rnacentral:rRNA from 1 species
UACGUAUGGUGCAAGCGUUAUCCGGAAUGACUGGGUGUAAAGGGAGCGUAGACGGUUAUUCAAGUCUGAUGUGAAAGCCCUCGGCUUAACUGGGGGAGUGCAUUGGAAACUGAAGGACUAGAGUAUCGGAGAGGCAAGUGGAAUUCCUAGUGUAGCGGUGAAAUGCGUAGAUAUUAGGAGGAACACCAGUGGCGAAGGCGGCUUGCUGGACGAAAACUGACGUUGAGACUCGAAAGCGUGGGAAGCAAACAGG